CCAGCACAUUGACCACUCUGUUGCUGAAGUUAUUUAAACUUGUAAUUAUUACUGUUGAUUUAUAGUUGCAUUAAAAAUCAUAUUCAAAGAGUGCUUAUUGACAUCAAACUAGAGUGAAAUAUUAAGUAAUAUGCUACAAAGUUCAGAACUGGGCCUGGAACUUUUUUAACAUUUUUAUUAAUGACUUGGGUGGGGAGAAGAGUGAAGGGAAUGCUUCUCAAAUCCACACAAGACAAAAUCGGGUAGGACAGCUAAUACCUUAAAAGACAGAAGUAAAAAUCAAAGUAAUCUUGUUACAGUAUGCUAGAGAUAUAAAAUAACAUAAAAAUAUUAAAAUUAACAUAAAUACUAUAAUCCACAUUUUAUAGCUAUUUCUUACAUCUUAGUUUAAGCAAUAGUCAACAUUUUUACACACAUGCAAAUGCAUAAUUUUAUGUAUUUUAUUAGUUUUAUAGAUUGCGUUGAUAAUUUUGUAUCAUGUUUUAUUUGCAUUGAGAACACUGAAUUAGUGUAUGUAUUUUUUAUUGCAACAGGGUUUUUUUUUUGCUUAAUACUAGUGAUUGAAAUAAUGAAUGCUAAAUUUUUCACUUAGGAAAUGUAACUUCAGAUUAAUGGAGAAUACUUGAUUUGGCAAUACCACAUGUGAAAAGAAUAUUAGAAUAGUAGUUGAAUGGGUCAACAGCGUGAUCUUGCAAAAAACAACAACAAUGGAUAUGCAGUUGUAACCUGCAUCAACAGAAAUAUAAUUGUCAAACCAAUAGACAUGAUACUUUCACUUUAUUCAGCUAACCUCAAUUAUUGGGACCAAUUUUGAGCACCACGCUGUAAGGAUUCAAAGAAAUCAGAACAGGCUCAAAGAAGAGAAAGAAAAAUAGUUGGGAAUUAGAAGAUAAACUAUAAGGAUAGAGACUGGAAGAAUUGCAAAUGAUCAGCCUUGAGCAGAGAAACGUUCUUCAAAUAUUUGUUCCAAAGAAGAAGGUGCAAGGACUGGUCUCUGACUCCCAAGGGGCAGGACACAAAACAGUAGUUUUAAGGGUCAAGAAGACUGAUGUCAAAUGAAUGCUAGGGAAAUAAUAGUAAAAGCAUUUAGUGCAACUAAUUAUCCGGAGGGAUUUUGGAUUUCUAUUCACUGGGUGUAUUCAAACCACAGGCUAGUGGGUUAUCUCUCAUUGGUGUUCUGCCCAGCGUGGGGUUGGAGGAUUCCAGAAUUUCCCCUUUCAAUCGUACAAUAAUUCAGCUUUAUUGUGAUGCUUUGUCCUUAUAUUCAGAAAAUUAAUUUGAAACAGAACCCAUGAAUAUGCCAAAACAUUGCCCUUCAAGAACUUCACUGAAUCCUCCCAUGAAUCUACAUGAAUGAAAACUACCCGAGUUAAACAUACCCCUUCAAGCUGAACCUCCACAGCAGUUUGUAUGUGCAAUCUCAAGGACCCUGUACAGAUAAUCCUCGAUUUACAAUCGCAAUUGAGCCCAAAAUUUCUGUUGCUAAGUGAAACAUUUGUUAAGUGAAUGUUGCUUCUCCAUUGA